rnacentral:rRNA from 1 species
CACUCCUACGGGAGGCAGCAGUGGGGAAUUUUGGACAAUGGGCGAAAGCCUGAUCCAGCAAUGCCGCGUGUGUGAAGAAGGCCUUCGGGUUGUAAAGCACUUUUGUCCGGAAAGAAAUCCUUGGCUCUAAUACAGUCGGGGGAUGACGGUACCGGAAGAAUAAGCACCGGCUAACUACGUGCCAGCAGCCGCGGUAAUACGUAGGGUGCGAGCGUUAAUCGGAAUUACUGGGCGUAAAGCGUGCGCAGGCGGUUUGCUAAGACCGAUGUGAAAUCCCCGGGCUCAACCUGGGAACUGCAUUGGUGACUGGCAGGCUAGAGUAUGGCAGAGGGGGGUAGAAUUCCACGUGUAGCAGUGAAAUGCGUAGAGAUGUGGAGGAAUACCGAUGGCGAAGGCAGCCCCCUGGGCCAAUACUGACGCUCAUGCACGAAAGCGUGGGGAGCAAACAGGAUUAGAUACCCCUGUAGUCCCA